AAAAGCAAUGUAAACUAGUUAACAAGAAAUGUGUUAUCAUAUCUGCCAGUAACAGCUUUCAAUGAUGUGGGUGAAGGUGCCUGGCGUCAUUCCCCUCUCUGCGCAUUAGAGGCGAGAGGCUCCGGUUAGAGGUUGAGACUGGACUACAACCCAAGACUUCUGAAGAAGGCACGCCCAUGGAGGCAGUGGAGAGCCCCAGCUGCAGGGGCCUAGCGCGACGAGCCAGGGCGGAGACCGCGAGAGUCUGAAGGGCGUGGACCACGGGCCUGGUUGUAUCACUGCGGGAUGUGGUGUGGGUGUGGGUGUGGGUGGGGCCACCCACCAUAGUCUUCCCACUAUAUGUGAAGCAAUGAUGACGGUGUUCGCAAGGAAAAGCACGAGUUAAUUCUAGAAUCCUAGGAAUCGCAGCUAAGAACUGUGCGUGUCUCAAGUGCUCUGCUGCUGCUGCUGCUGCUAAGUCGCGUCAGUGUUCGACUCUGUGCGACCCCAUAGACAGCAGCCUACCAGGCUCUGCCGUCCCUGGGAUUCUCCAGGCAAAAGUACUGGAGUGGGUUGCCAUUGCCUUCUCCAAUGCAUGAAAGUGAAAAGUGAAAGUGAAGUCGCUCAGUUGUGUCCGACUCCUCGCGACCCCAUGGACUGCAGCCCACCAGGCUCCUCCGUCCAUGAGGUUUUCCAGGCAAGAGUACUGGAGUGGGGUGCCAUUGUCUUCUCCGCUGAAGUGCUCGAAACGCCCUAAUUCUUAACCCAAGAAUUAAGGGAAGCGAAGCGGAUGGGUGGGUGGGAUGAAGAAGGGCAGAGACCUCUUAUUCCCUCCAUGUCCCUCUGAGACACCCUGAAGAGAGGCUGCAGAGGAGAGCUACUGACGGGAAGUCGCUGUCGAAGAAGCAAGCCCAUCUUAGAACCCGGAGGUGCUUCC
ensembl:lncRNA